rnacentral:rRNA from 1 species
AUUGAACGCUGGCGGCAUGCUUUACACAUGCAAGUCGAACGGUAUCAGGGUGCUUGCACCGCUGACGAGUGGCGAACGGGUGAGUAAUGCAUCGGAAUGUACCGUGUAAUGGGGGAUAGCUCGGCGAAAGCCGGAUUAAUACCGCAUACGCCCUGAGGGGGAAAGUGGGGGACCGAAAGGCCUCACGUUAUACGAGCAGCCGAUGUCUGAUUAGCUAGUUGGUGAGGUAAAGGCUCACCAAGGCGUCGAUCAGUAGCGGGUCUGAGAGGAUGAUCCGCCACACUGGGACUGAGACACGGCCCAGACUCCUACGGGAGGCAGCAGUGGGGAAUUUUGGACAAUGGGCGCAAGCCUGAUCCAGCCAUGCCGCGUGUCUGAAGAAGGCCUUCGGGUUGUAAAGGACUUUUGUCCGGGAGCAAAUCCUAGUGGUUAAUAACCGCUGGGUCUGAGAGUACCGGAAGAAUAAGCACCGGCUAACUACGUG